rnacentral:rRNA from 1 species
AGAGCAUAUGGCGGAUGCCUUGGCAAUAAGGGCCGAAGAAGGGCGUAGCAAGUCUGCGAUAAGCCUCGACUAGCUGUCUAGCAAGCUUAAUCGAGGAUUCCCGAAUGUGGAAACACAUCUGUAGAGAUGCAAAUUUAAUUUGCGGUAAGUGGGGGAACUGAAACAUCUAAGUACCCCGAGGAAAAUAAAUCGAAUGAGAUUCCCUGAGUAGCGGUGAGCGAAAUGGGACCAGCCUAAAUUACUGGAUCUUAACGGAUUGGAGUCUUUUGAUCUGGUUCGGUUGUAGGAGUCUAUGUGAAUACCUCCAAGUGUUCAGAAGAGUAAGAAAUCGUUUUUUUAGAAGAAUGAAGUUUGGAAAAACCAGCCACAGAGGGUGAUAGCCCCGUAUUUGAAAAAAAGACGACUCUUCAUAGAUUUCCUGAGUACCACGGGACACGUGAAAUCCUGUGGGAAUCUAGGGAGACCACUCUCUAAGGCUAAAUACCCUUAUUGACCGAUAGUGAACUAGUACCGUGAGGGAAAGGUGAAAAGAACCCCUAAAGGGGAGUGAAAUAGAACUGAAACCGUAUGCUUACAAGCCGUUGGAGCAAUUUAUUGUGACAGCGUGCCUAUUGAAGAAUGAGCCGGCGAGUUAAUUUAUGUAGCAAGGUUAAGAUAUUAAGUAUUGGAGCCGAAGCGAAAGCGAGUCUGAAUAGGGCGCUUAGUUGCAUGGAUUAGACCCGAAACCGUGUGAGCUACCCAUGACCAGGGUGAAGCGAAAUUAACGUUUCGUGAAGGCCCGAACCCUUGUACGCUGCAAAGUGCUGGGAUGAGUUGUGGGUAGAGGAGAAAUUCCAAACGAACACGGAGAUAGCUGGUUCUCCCCGAAAUGUAUUUAGGUACAGCCUUAGGUAUUAACUGAUGGAGGUAGAGCACUGGAUGAGCUAGCGGGCGCAAGCUUAGCAAACUCAACCAAACUAAGAAUGCCAUCAGCCGAAUCCUAGGAGUGAGACAGUGACGGAUAAGCGCCAUUGUCGAAAGGGAAACAGCCCAGAUCGCAAGCUAAGGUCCCAAAGUUAUAGUUAAGUGGUAAAGGAGGUUGGAUCGCCCAGACAGCUAGUAGGUUGGCUUAGAAGCAGCCAUCCUUUAAAGAGUGCGUAAUAGCUCACUAGUCGAGGGGUUCUGCGCCGAAAAUUAUCGGGGCUAAACUAUACACCGAAGCUGCGGGAUUCUUUAUGAAUCGGUAGGGGAGCGUUCUCAAUGCACUGAAUCUGAAUUGUGAAAUUUGGUGGAGCGUUGAGAAGUGAGAAUGUCGGCAUGAGUAGCGACAAUCUUUGUGAGAAUCAAAGACACCGGAAGUCCGAGGUUUCCUACGCAACGUUGAUCGGCGUAGGGUUAGUCGGUCCUAAGGAGAAGCCGAAAGGUGAAUUCGAUGGACAGCUGGUCAAAAUUCCAGCACCGUAAUUAUCCUGUUAUGCAACGAAGGGACGCGAUAAGGACUGUUAAGCAUGCCUAUGGACAUGGUGUGUGGGGCCUUGUAGGGAAGUGAUUGUGGUUAAAAGAACAGUUACGUUAUUAACUGAGAAGGUUUCAGACCUUAAGGCUUCGGCCUUAGGGAAUUUAACACGAACUAUGUCGCCAAGAAAAGCUUCGUUGAUAGGGAUAUUAUGACCGUACCGAAAACCGACACAGGUGGACAGGGGUAAAAGCCCCAAGGUGAACGAGAAAACCAUCCUCAAGGAACUCGGCAAAUUAACCCCGUAACUUCGGAAUAAGGGGAGCCUAAAAUAUAUAGACUUCGCGUUGAAAGUAUUUUAGGCCGCAGAGAAUUGGUCUGAGCGACUGUUUAUCAAAAACACAGGUCCGUGCUAAAGCGAAAGCUGAUGUAUACGGGCUGACGCCUGCCCAGUGCCGGUAGGUUAAAGUGAAGAGUGAGAGCUUUGAUCUGAAGCCCCGGUGAACGGCGGCCGUAACUAUAACGGUCCUAAGGUAGCGAAAUCCCUUGUCGGGUAAGUUCCGACCUGCACGAAAGGCGUAACGACUUGGACACUGUCUCGAGGGUGGACUCGGUGAAAUUGCAUGACCCGUAAAGAUGCGGGUUACGCGCAGCAGGACAAAAAGACCCCGUGGAGCUUUACUGUAGCUUGGCAUUG